AACGAACGCUGGCGGCAUGCCUAACACAUGCAAGUCGAACGGACGGUAGCAAUACCGUUAGUGGCGGACGGGUGAGUAACGCGUGGGAACCUGCCUCGAAGUUCGGAAUAACCGCGGGAAACUGCGGCUAAUACCGGAUGUGGCCUGAGGGUCAAAGGCGCAAGUCGCUUCGAGAGGGGCCCGCGUCCGAUUAGCUAGUUGGUGGGGUAACGGCCUACCAAGGCGACGAUCGGUAGCUGGUCUGAGAGGAUGAUCAGCCACACUGGGACUGAGACACGGUCCGGACUCCUACGGGAGGCAGCAGUGGGGAAUAUUGGACAAUGGGGGAAACCCUGAUCCAGCGACGCCGCGUGGGUGAAGAAGGCCUGCGGGUUGUAAAGCCCUUUCAGUGGGAAGAAAGCCUCGACCUAACACGUCGGGGUCUUGACGUAACCCAUAGAAGAAGCACCGGCUAACUCUGUGCCAGCAGCCGCCGU
rnacentral:rRNA from 1 species